CCUGGCCGUGGUGCUCCAGGGUGACUUGGGCAGAAGGGGAGGGUGUAAGGGUGCAGCAAACUCACCUACUCCGAGCUUGUCUCUGUGGCUUAGGCGCAAGCAGUCUGUGUGUGAAGUCACACUGCUCCUCGUUUAGUGCGCGUGAGCCAGUGGUGUGGUUCCUGGUUCUCCACUCAAAACACAAAUCCCGAGUGGGAAAUCUCUGGGGGACGUUGGCCAGAGACCUGUCUUGGAGGCUGAUGCUCCUGUGGCCGGUGAAGGAGCCCCUCGCUCCCCUGGAUAACCUUCAGUCUGGCCCGCACUGUCGCCAGUGUCAUUUCUGCGUCAGCACUGGCUGAAGGACCUCGGCUGCGGUCUCACUGGUUCCACUGCUGUUGACACAGAGAGGGCCGAGGGGCGUCCACUGUCCAGGGCAAGUUCUGGCUGAGGGAACCCUGGAUUGACUGGAGGACCUGAGGAGGAAGCCUAUUUGAGGACAAGGACCCCAGGGAAGGUGUUCUUCCCCCUCGGUUAUGUUGAACUAACCGCUAACGGUCCAGUCUGCCGCAGAAACUGCUAGCCUGCCCUCGGGGCUCUGAGCCCCGCUGGCCUCCGCUUUGCCCCCUUCUGCAGCAGUGGACCAAAAAUACUCCUUCUGUUCCAUCUCUCGUAAUGGCCCCUUGUGCGCCCCACCCAGGUCGAGAGGUAAACCAGUUUAAUUCUCCAAAGCUCUGCUGGUGCCGCCCAGCCCUGUCCAUUGCCUAUGCAGAACAAGAGGCCUGGUGUCCAUGAAUCUCCCAUUUCCCGGCCUGGGGCUCUCCCUCACCUUGGCCUCCACUGUGUUCUUUCUCCAUGGUGGAAGUCAGAGCCCCUCCUCGGACUCUGAGCAGCCAGGCCGUCUCAAAUUCUGAGCUGUGCUCUGUGCCCUGCUGGUGCCUUGUGAAAGUAUGUUCCAUACAGACCCUGGAAGGUUAUGACAGUCAAAGGUUAAGAGUGAGGACGCUCUGGCACUUGGCACAAAAGGAUCCUUACUUCCAGCUUCCUCAGUGAGACAGGCCACCCUGAGUCCUUUGUCUCUUGGAGACCAGGAGCCGAAACCGUAAGAUCCAUCACUCGCGCUGGACCCCUCUAGGUGUUUGUGGAAGGUGCUUUGGAACCUCGUGAGCUGCAAGGAAAAGGACUUGGCGUUUCGUGUGUGGUAUUUCCUCCUUGCCCGGGGACCUAAGUUGCUGGACUGGGAAGUGGGCCUUGAUUCACUGUCCACCUUCCAUGGAUCAGCUGUGCAUCAUCUGUGCCUCAGAUCUGGGGAGUCCAGAGCCUUGUUCUCCUGCUUGGAAGAUUUGGAGGACUAAGUGUUUCAGAGUGCUUCAUUGUUCCCCAAAUGAACUGCCGCUUAGCCGUCUCCUUCACGACAAGGCCUGGAAAUCACGACACCAACGAGGGAAACCAGCCGGGCCCGCGUGCAAUGAUUAAAAGUGACAACUCAGUGGAUGUCUCAGAGCCAUCGCAGUCUCCCUGCCAAGGUGAAGCACCAGGUGCUAUCUACUUUUAUCUCCAGGAUUAAGGAUUUUCAUUUCUGUUACACAGUGAAAUGCGACCUGUGGCAGGCGGGAUGGGGGGUGAAGGGGGGUGAAAGCCAGUUGGCACUGUGUUUCAUUUACAGAUUUUAGAUGGCCAACUGGAUUGUUUCUGCUGUGUUGCUGGCAUGCCUCUGUAUCUCUGCCCCCUCGUCCCCUUUGGCCAUCUCUUUCUGAAAAUAAAGUGAU
ensembl:lncRNA